UAAUAAAGUCUUAUGAUUAAAUAAAUAUACUUUAAAAUUAAUAUAAAAAGAACUAGGCAAAAAAAUAUCCAACUGUUUAACAAAAACAUAGUUUAAGGAAAAAAUCUUAAAUAAAGCCUGCUCAAUGAGAAAUUAAAUAGCUGCAGUAAACUAACUGUACUAAGGUAGCAUAAUAAUUUGCUCUUCAAUUAAGAGCUGGAAUGAAUGGUUAAAUGAGAAAUUAACUUUUAACAUUAUAAUAAGUAAAACCUAACUUUUGAGUCAAAAGUCUCAAAUAAACUCAAUAGACAAGAAGACCCUUUAGAAUUUAAUAAAUCAAAUUAAAAUCGUUAAUAAAAUUUAUUUAAUUGGGGAGAUUAUAAAUAAACAAAAACAUUUAUUUUUAAUUUACACUAAUUUAUGAAUUUUUAGUAUACCCAAGAGUUAUGAAAUAAAAAUCAAAUUACCUAAGGGAUAACAGCGUAAAAUGCUUAAAGAGAUCUCAUCAAUAAGCUAAGUUACGACCUCGAUGUUGGAUUAAGAAUAUAGCAUAAAGCAGGAAUUAUGCAAAGUGGUCUGUUCGACCAAUAACUUCUUACAUGAUCUGAGUUCAGACCGGCGUAAGCCAGGUCAGUUUAUAUCUUUUAUUUAUGUGUUUAGUUAUAGUACGAAAGGAUUUAACUAAUUAAAGUUUUUAUAAAAUUUUAUUAAAUUAUCAUAUAUAAUGAA
rnacentral:rRNA from 1 species